UCCUCGAGUUGCUGGACUUGAGUGAACAUGGUGCUAACAGACUCCAGCAAAUCUUGUCAAGGCAGCUGCGGAGCAAGUGCAGGGAGAGGCGUCGCCUGGCACUCAGGGUCCUUUUUGAGAUCACUGACGAUCCCUCAAUGAACGAGAAAAUGUGGAGCCUGACUGAAAGUCUUGUGGAGCUCCUGUGGGACGCAAAUGGAGAGAUAGUCAGCAUGACAGUCAUGCUACUCAGCUUUAUCAUCUUGGACAAUGACAUGCUGAUACCCAGCCCCAUGGCACUGCAGCUGGUUGAGGCGCUCCUGCCACUCUUUGACCACGAGAAUAGCCAGGUGCAGCUGCUCUCCAUACUGCUCUUCCGAACAUUGGUGACUCUUCCACAGGAAAAGGAAAAAAAGGCCCUGAAGACACACCUGCACCAGAGCCUGCUGCCACUCUUCUUCCACUGCCAAAAUGAGA